AGAAUCAACGCUGGCGGCGUGCCUAACACAUGCAAGUCGAACGAGAAAGUGGGAGCAAUCCCACGAGUAAAGCGGCGCACGGGUGAGUAACACGUGACUAACCUACCCUUGAGUGGGGGAUAACCUAGGGAAACCUGGGCUAAUACCGCAUAAUACCUACGGGUCAAAGGAGCAAUUCGCUUUAGGAGGGGGUCGCGGCAGAUUAGUUAGUUGGCGGGGUAAUGGCCCACCAAGACAGUGAUCUGUAUCCGGCCUGAGAGGGCGCACGGACACACUGGAACUGAAACACGGUCCAGACUCCUACGGGAGGCAGCAGUGGGGAAUUUUGCGCAAUGGGGGAAACCCUGACGCAGCAACGCCGCGUGGAGGAUGAAGCCCCUUGGGGCGUAAACUCCUUUCGAUCGGGAAGAUAAUGACGGUACCGGAAGAAGAAGCCCGGCUAACUUCGUGCCAGCAGCCGC
rnacentral:rRNA from 1 species